GACGAGCUCUCCAAACGUUAUUCGGUAUCACUGGGCUUAAAGAGUUCGUAGGCGGCUCCGUAGGUGAGGUGUGAAAGCCCUCGGCUCAACCGAGGAAUUGCGCUUCAACCGUGGGGCUUGAGGGAGACAGGGGUAAGCGGAACAGAUGGUGGAGCGGUGAAAUGCGUUGAUAUCGUCUGGAACGCCACGGUGAAACAGACUGCUGGGAGUGUGCUGACGCUGAGACACGAAGCUAGGGGAGC
rnacentral:rRNA from 1 species